rnacentral:rRNA from 1 species
GACGAACGCUGGCGGCAUGCCUUACACAUGCAAGUCGAACGGCAGCACGGGAGCAAUCCUGGUGGCGAGUGGCGAACGGGUGAGUAAAGUAUCGGAACGUGCCCAGUCGUGGGGGAUAACGUAGCGAAAGUUACGCUAAUACCGCAUACGAUCUAUGGAUGAAAGCGGGGGAUCGCAAGACCUCGCGCGAUUGGAGCGGCCGAUAUCAGAUUAGGUAGUUGGUGGGGUAAAGGCUCACCAAGCCGACGAUCUGUAGCUGGUCUGAGAGGACGACCAGCCACACUGGGACUGAGACACGGCCCAGACUCCUACGGGAGGCAGCAGUGGGGAAUUUUGGACAAUGGGCGAAAGCCUGAUCCAGCCAUGCCGCGUGCAGGAUGAAGGCCUUCGGGUUGUAAACUGCUUUUGUACGGAACGAAAAGGUUUGGGCUAAUAAGCUGAGCUCAUGACGGUACCGUAAGAAUAAGCACCGGCUAACUACGUGCCAGCAGCCGCGGUAAUAC